rnacentral:rRNA from 1 species
GACGAACGCUGGCGGCGUGCUUAACACAUGCAAGUCGAACGGAAAGGCCCUGCUUUUGUGGGGUGCUCGAGUGGCGAACGGGUGAGUAACACGUGAGUAACCUGCCCUUGACUUUGGGAUAACUUCAGGAAACUGGGGCUAAUAUCGGAUAGGAGCUCCUGCUGCAUGGUGGGGGUUGGAAAGUUUCGGCGGUUGGGGAUGGACUCGCGGCUUAUCAGCUUGUUGGUGGGGUAGUGGCUUACCAAGGCUUUGACGGGUAGCCGGCCUGAGAGGGUGACCGGCCACAUUGGGACUGAGAUACGGCCCAGACUCCUACGGGAGGCAGCAGUGGGGAAUAUUGCACAAUGGGCGGAAGCCUGAUGCAGCAACGCCGCGUGCGGGAUGACGGCCUUCGGGUUGUAAACCGCUUUCGCCUGUGACGAAGCGUGAGUGACGGUAAUGGGUAAAGAAGCACCAGCUAACUACGUG